GCCUGGGUGGCUUAGUUGGUAGAGCGUGCGGCUGUUAACCGCGAGGUCACAGGUUCGAGUCCUGUCCCAGGCG
rnacentral:tRNA from 1 species